rnacentral:misc_RNA from 1 species
GAUGAGAACGUAGUGAAAUGCGAUAAGUAAUGUGAAUUGCAGAAUUCAGUGAAUCAUCGAAUCUUUGAACGCACCUUGCACCCUUUGGCAUUCUGAAGGGUAUGCUCGUUUGAGUGUCAUUGUACUCUCACACUCCCGAUCUUUGCAUUGGGAGCAGUGGACUUGGGUUUGCUGCUUCACCGUCGCUUACCUCAAAUAGGUUAGUGCAACUCUUGGUUGGACAUAGUACGGCGUGAUAAGUGUUCUUCGCCGGUGCCUCGCAAAGAGGGUGGCCGAUCGGGAUGUUGUGCUCCAAACCGUCUUCGGACAAUCUCUGACGACUUGACCUCAAAUCGAGUAAGACUACCCGCUGAACUUAAGCAUAUCAAUAAGCGGAGGA